rnacentral:rRNA from 1 species
UACGGAGGGGGCAAGCGUUGUCCGGACUUACUGGGCGUAAAGGGCGCGUAGGCGGCCACCUAAGUCAGACGUGAAAUCCCUCGGCUCAACCGGGGAACUGCGUCUGAUACUGGGCGGCUUGAAUUCGGGAGAGGAAUGCGGAAUUCCAGGUGUAGCGGUGAAAUGCGUAGAUAUCUGGAGGAACACCGGUGGCGAAGGCGGCAUUCUGGACCGACAUUGACGCUGAGGCGCGAAAGCCAGGGGAGCAAACGGG